rnacentral:lncRNA from 1 species
AGAGAGAGAGAGAGAGAGAGAGAGAGAGAGUUGAGGUAGAAUACUAUCGAUAGCAAACCGGCACUUUUGCCACCCAUUUAUUUUCGAUGAUUGAACCUCCAAAUCAACGAUCGGCACCGUUGAACAUGAUCUAUACUACUCGAAGUGUUUAGAAAUCAAAUUUUAAAUCUUUUCGACAUCAUUUGCCUAAUGAUCAAAGGGUUUCAAAAUUUAUAAUUGUAAUGGUCGAUAUGAGGCGUUUUCUCGUUUAACGGCGUAAAGAUAUCCAAAAUCAAUUGCAUUUUUGUUAGAAAAUUCUUUAAACUAUUUAAAACAAGAUCUAUACUCUUAAUCUUGAUUACAAGACUCCUAUCAUCAUUUUUUUAAGAAUAUUCAUUUUCAGCCGUUCAUUUUUGUGUCCACUCGAUGGAUAAGAGAGCAAUAUCGAAAAUGUAUGAAAUUUAAUUUCUAAAUACUUCAAAUGGUAUAGAUCAUAUUCAACGGUACCGAUCAUCAAUUUGAAGGCUCCAUCAUCGGAAACAAAUGGGUGGCAAAAGUGCCGAUUUGCUAUCGAUAGUAUUCUAGCUCAACUAUAUAUAUAUAUAUAUAUAUAUAUAUAUAUAUAUAUAUAUAUAUAUAUAUAUAUAUAUAUAUAUAUAUAUAAAGAGAGAGAAAGAGUUAUGUUAUUAUGUUUUAGAAAGUACCGAGAUAUCAAAUUUGACGAUUAGUUCUGUUAGACAUGAUUCAUAGUGUUAAAGUAAGUUAUUUAGAAAUCAGAUUUCAUAACUUUUUGACUUCGUUUGUGAACAAGUAGUUUCAAAAUGAGCGACAAAAAAUAAGAAUUUUAUAAAAAAUACUGAUAAAUAAUUUAAAUUUCAAAUUGAAAGUAGUGAUCUUGCUCUCAUAAAUUUCGUAAUUUAUCAAUAUAAUUUACCUUAAUAAUCGAUUGACUUUUUGGCCACAUACACUCUUACUUAAGUGUGAGGAGAUGACGUCGCACAUUGCUUUGAAAAUAUUACUUCUAUGCAUACUCGUACUCUCACACACACACACACACACACAAAACAUAUAUAUAUAUAUAUAUAUAUAUAUAUAGUCCGGCUACUAUACUUUUAUGAGUAUUGGCUCCCUUAUACUUAUAAAUUUUCGACCCUUAGAUUUAUUUUAUGAUCAUUUCCAUCCGUUAGAUCAUACAAUUCAACCAACUACCCACUCAAUACUAGGGGACCACUAUCAUUCUAAGUGGGGACCAUCAUCAUCCUAACCACACAUCCAAUCAAUCAACGGUUAAAAAUUUAUGAGUACAAAGGGUUCUAUACUCAUAAGAGUAUAGUAGCCCUAGGCUAUAUAUAUAUAUAUAUAUAUAUAUAUAACACAAGGCACAGAUACAUUAAUAUUAAACAAGUUUUUAAAGGCUAUCUAAGGUAAAUAUCAACAAUACAAGAGCAUCUUCGUAACUUUACUACGUUGGUAGGAGUAUGCAUGCAAAAUCAAUCUCUAUUAUUAUUAAUUAUUUUUCCAGCGAUGAACGCAACGCUAUUUUACUCGUAUACUAAAUUGUGAAUAUCAAGGUAAUUUGAGGUAUUAAUUUGUGUACAUAAAUGAAUGAGAAAUGCUACAAUAAGCUACUUUAUUUUCUUUUUAAUAAAUAUAUAUACAAUUGUGCAUGAAAAUUAAUUCAUUCUAUAUUAUAAUUUCAAUAUUAUUAAAAGAAAAAAGUAAUGGUGCGCAAAAAAAUGAACACAUGCUGCUGUCUCUAGUGGGCCAAGAGCAACAGGUGAUAUCCUGCUGCAGAUCAUAGAAUCUGAUAUGUAGGAUAUGCAAAAAAAGCAUUGAGAAUCUUGCCCCCUGUUCGGCGGAUUUGGGAUAAUUAACUUAGAAAAAAAAAGAAAAUCUAGCAAAUUAUUAAGAAACUGUAUGCUUUUUUUGGGAUCACAGGGUUAUCAAAGUUCUCCAUGGAUCCAAAUUUUAAGAUUGAAUUUGUUGACAAAUUUAAGAAGCCCCUAGCAAGCUUGAAUUAGGUUCUUCGCAUUCUUUCUUUUUUCCCCCCUACCAUUGACGGGCUUAGGGCUAUCAAUCAUGCUUGUUGUUCACGAGUCAGCUCGUGUUCGAAUUAAAAAUGACUUGUACUCAGCUCGUUCAUUUAACAUGUAAGCCAAUCAUGAGCUAAUUCUAACCUGCUCUUGUUUGGCUCGAUAUAACAUAUGAAUUGUAUUUUUGGAUUGAUAUACAACAAAUUUAAAUGCUGUUUUAAAGUUUUUUUUGGGUUAAUUAAUUAGCUUUACUUUUUAAUUUAAUACUAAUUAAUAAUAUUAACAAGCAUCAAUGGUAUUAAUAAUAAUGCUAAUUAUAGUUAGUAUUAAUAUGUUAUUAAAGUUUAUUUUAAGCUAAUUAGAAAUAAUUUUGAGUCGGCUCGAAUUAAUCUUAAGCACGAAAACGAGCUAGAUUAUCCCAACUUAUUGAAAUUUCGAGCUGACUCGAAUUAUAUUUUUCGAGCCGAUCUCGAACCGUUCAAGCUCGUUCGUGUUCGGCUCGCUGACAGACCUACUGAUACACCUAUAACUGCUGCCAAUGCACUGUAAAAUUCUUUAACUAACUUUAAUAUUUUAAUAUGAGACUUACAAAGGAGGGUUUCAUAUAGCUGGUCUCCUCUACCACACUUUACCUCCCUACACAAGUCAAAAAUAUGAUGGUGUUAGUUAUAAGGUGCAUUUGGUAGUGGAGAAUAAUGGGAAUGAUACAUAUCGUUUAAAGUUGCACCAAAAGUUAUUCUUUUCCAAAAUUGACCAAUGUGAGAUUCCUUAAGAAACGACACGUGGAAAACUACGCGUGACACUUGGCCCUUUCAGGGGCCGUUUAGUUAAAUGUAAAUAUAAAUGCAGUAUAGAUUAAAAUACAUUCAGUUAAAAAUACAGUAGUUAUAAUUACAUAUAUUUACUGUGCUUGGUUAUGUACGGUUAGCAAACGUAUUUAUACUAUUUUUUGUGUUUUAUAUAUGAGAUAUAUAGUGAGAUUAUCUCUUAUGUGGAAAAAAAAAAUUAUUUUUUUAUUUGAAAGAUUAUUAGGAAGGUAAGCGUAUCUUUAUUUAAUGUUACUUUCUCCAACCACUGCAGUUAGUCAAUUUGGGCAUGGUUUCAAUUACUACAAUUGAGCAUCCUCGUGUAGUUUCAACUGCAGCAAUUGAAUUCAAAUGUACAAAAUCAAACUACGAAUUUGAAUUUAUAUGCAGAUGCAAUUACAGUAUAGUUACAAUUACGUUCAACCAAACAGCGCCAAAUCAUUUUGGUAGUGCAGUUCUAUUUUCUUUCCAAAUUGUUUCAUGCAUGCUAAAGCAUACAUGCUGCACAGCCGACCAAAUAAUGUCAUUUUGCAGUGACCCGUCACCAAAGAAGCCACCAACUUUGAAAGCUCUGACUGACUGUCCCUAGAGCAAGUGGCAAAGGACUUGGUGGUUGGUACCCGAGACCCAAGUUCGAAUUUUAGUUGAUUCACAUUUCCAGCUAAGUUUAUUUCUAAAUAAAAUAAACGAAGCGGGUAGCAUGCUACCUUUCUCUCAAAUAAAAAACUUUGAAAGCUCUGGUUCCAAUUGUGUUCAACGGUCAAAUACUGAAUUCAAGGCGGGGCUCCAAAACUUGUAUAGAAAAGAGCCGCGCACAUUGAAUGCAACUUCGUGCACAAAAAAAUUCUAUAAAUGAGAAAAUAUUAUAAUUUAUUAGUGUUCGAAUGUAUCCCGUAUGAUCGGAUGAUCUAUGUACAAAAUUUUUCUAUGCACAAAAUUGUAGAGAUAUAAGAUCAUCUUUGUCUUUGCUUUUAUUUUCCUCUGUAGUUAUAACUGUUUAAAGAACUGAGAUCGAAUCCGUAAAAGAUUAAUAAAUGCACCUUAGAAUUGAACCUGCUACUAUAUUAUUUAAAAAAUUAAUUAAAAAAUAAUUUAAAAACAUUAUUUUAUAUAAUUUUAUUCAACAAAACUAUAUAUAUAUAUAUUCCAUCCCAAUAAAAAAGACAAAUAAAACAUGGUAAUUUAAUAAGAGCGGCAUACUAUUUGUAUACCUAUAGCUAAAGUAUAAUUCUUACAUCUUAAUCAUCUGAGGACUAAUAAUUUACUCUCUUGUCUUUCCAGGUUAUAUUUUAAUACAAAAUUUUCUUUUAAAAAAAGUUAAACUCUUGGAUGUAUAAAUAUAAAUUUCUUUGUCAUAUCAGCUAUUUUUUUUAGGUAAAAAAUAUAUAGAACUUAUAUAUUGGAGCAUUUAGAUCUAGCUACUCAAUAUGUCAAAAUUUGGAGUUUACUAUCGAUUCUUUCGAUUUGUUUGAUUUGAGUCAGUCAAGUAUUUUGACCUCAAAAUUUGAAUACAUUGUUAAUCUUUACAGUUUUAAUUAGUAUAUCUCAUACAAUUUUCACAACUAUAAGUUCAUUAACAUAAAUAAUUAGCUUAAAUUUUAAAAUCAAAGUAUUGUUGACUAAAUCAAAUCCAACCAAUUGAAAGGUUGGUCGCUAAAAUCAAACAUUUGAUUUGGCUACUCAACCUUUCAAAAUUUUGAUUUGAAUCGGUCGAUGCGUCGAUAGUUCGACUUCAAAUUUUAAACUAAUUUCUUAGAUGAAAAUAUAGUUAUGAGAAUAUAUUGCAUGAAGUGUACUAUCUGAACCUAUAAAGAUAAAGAUAAACAACGUGUUCAAAAUUUUUAAGUCAUUGAUUGAUUCAAAUCAAGCAAAUUGAAAAGUUAAAUAGUAAAAUCAAAAUUUUAAAAAAUUGAAUACGUAGCUAACUCCGAGUAGUCUAUAAUUCAGAUAAGUUCUGUUCCUUUGUAUUUUUUUGCCCGCGUUGAGAAUGCAAUUCAACAGCUGCAUGCAAACUUCUUGCCCAAGUUUGGUUAAAGAAACAAAGUUCGUCUCCUUUGUGGAAGAACUUCAUCUCCUUCGUGAAUCAAAAAGGAAAAGAGAAAAGGCAAAGUGAGAGAGAGAUACGAAGUUUAAUUUUGAGCCAUGCUCUAGUGUGAGAAAAUAAUGUGUAAAAUUAUUCAAACCGUCUAAUUUAUUGCAUAUAUACAAUUACUCUUCCUAGGUGUUUUUUAUGAUAUAGCUGUUCCGUUAACGUGUGAUAAUUUUAUGCUAUUUUUUAAAAAUCAAGAGGUGAUUUUUUUUUUUUUUUUCUGUUUUGAAAACCUAUACAGGAUGGAUUAAUUGUCACAUAAGAUGAUUUAAAAUACAUGGGCUGUGACACUUUUUUUUUAGAAGGGUGAUCUUAAAUUAUACACGCUGAAUUUACAUAUAUGCAUUUAAUAUAAAAUGAAAAUAGAGGCUAAUGUGGAAAAAGAGACGGGCUUUUUUAUAAAAUGAUCCUCCAGAAAUUUGAAUUUGGCAAAAUAACCCUACCAAAAUUUUAUUUGUAAAACUAAUCCUACUUUCGCAACGUGGGCGUCACGUCAGGAAUUCCUCAAAAAUACGAUGAAUCGUUCACCGCCUUUAUAAUAUUUAUUGUGAAGACAAUGAAUGGUUUACCGCCAAUCCUUACUCUAAUAUUAAUAGAUAAAAUAAAGUUAAAAAAUAUAUAUAUAUAUAAAAAAUUAUAUUUCUUUGUUUUUUUAUGAGAUCGUAGAAAAUAUAUAUAUUAUAACUGUCUCGUUACGAUAAAAAAAUCUUAAUAUUAUGUAUACAAAUAAAUAGCAUAUUAUUAAUACUCAAUGUAAUCUCCGCAUAAUUUCAAACGAGAUCUUAAUAAAAUAUUUGCCAUUAUACAGGGCACUUCAAGAUUUAGACAAAAUAAAUAAAUAAUAUCCAAAAAAUGAGGCAUGUGAUAAAAGCUUAACUCAGUCAUGUAGAUCAAAAGGAGAGAGAGAAUGUGGACCCAAACCAUGCAUGGACCCAAAAAAGAGAGAGACCUAGAGAGAGAGAGAGGAAGACCAAUAUUGACCCAAAAAGAAGAGAGAGAGAGAGAGGGGGGGUUAGAGAGAGAGAGAGAGAGAGAGAGAGCACUCCUCUAUAAAAGGUCCAAAGAUGAGAAGCAUUGAAUUAAGUCAAUCCCCUUCUAACUUAUGGGUUGUGGUGACAAUUACCUUCUCCUCCAUUUCUCCUCCCUUAUCAUAUGUUAUCACCUUCACCACUAUUCCUCUUAUAAUUCCCUCGCCUCCUCCUCUUCUCUCACUUCUCAAACCCCUUCUCACCACCAACCUAAACACAUACUAUGUUAUAACCAGUUCUAACUUAGCACAUCUUAAGCAGUAGUAGUAGUAGUAGUAGUAGUAAACAAUUUAUCUCCUCUUCAACUGAUCCGAGUUUCAUGGAUUAUUCUUGUUAUUCUUUCUCGCUUCUCCUCCUCUUCUUAUUUGGAUCAGGUACAAUUAAUUAUACACUUUACUUAUCAUUUGAGUUGGAUUUUAAUUGCGAUAUGUAUUUACGUACGUGCGUGUUGUUGCAGGGUCCGUGAGUUGCACCACGUUCACGUUCGUGAACCGGUGCGGCGACACGGUGUGGCCGGGCAUGCUAUCAAACUCUGGGAGGUCGCCGCUCGAGACCACCGGGUUCGCCCUCCCCGCCGGCGGGUCCCGCUCGCUUCUCGCCCCGACCGGCUGGUCCGGCCGCUUCUGGGGGCGGACCGGGUGCUCCUUCGACCCGGCCGGGCGCGGCUCGUGCUCGACGGGGGACUGCGGCUCCGGCCAGGUCGAGUGCAACGGCGCGGGCGCCGACCCUCCGGUGACGCUCAUCGAAUUCACGCUUGCAGGUACCGAAUAUAAAAUAUCCAAAUGCCAUUCUCUGAUAGUUUAAGUCUAGAAUGUCAAAGGAAUAUAAGAUUUGUAUUAAGACAUGUUGGGGAGAAUUUUUAUCUUUUUAGAUAAUAUGGUAUCAAGAGGUUCUGAAUUUGAUUUCGUUAUUUUUAUGAUGUGACAUAAUUUAGUGAAGUGACUAGCUAUUAAUGUGUGGAAAAUGAAAAUGUUAUUGGUAAUUUAAGUUUUUAGAGUAAACGAUUAUUCGCUGGUCAGAAGGCUCCGACGGAAAAGACUUCUACGACGUGAGCCUGGUGGACGGCUACAACCUGCCGGUGGUGGUGGAGGCGACCACCACCGCCAUCAAUACAGCCUCCACCACCGCCGACACUGACACCGUCGGGUGUGCGGCGACGGGGUGCGCAGCCGACCUGAACCAGCGGUGCCCGGCUGAGCUGAAGGUGGGGGACGGGGAGGCGUGCCGGAGCGCGUGCGAGGCGUUCGGGACGCCCGAGUACUGCUGCAGCGGCGAGUUCGGCAGCCCGGACACCUGCCGGCCGUCAGUGUACUCGCAGAUGUUCAAGUCGGCGUGCCCGCGGUCGUACAGCUACGCCUACGACGACGCCACCUCUACCUUCACCUGCGCUACAGCCGCCGCCGCCGACUACGUCAUCACCUUCUGCCCUGACUCCACAGUCAGGUGAGAAAUAAAAACAAUCCCAUGACUCAUAUUUCUUCACUAGUCUUAUCAUUUUUUUAUUUUUUUUCCGCUAGUCUUCUGAGGGGUCUUCUUUUUUUUUAAAAAAAAAAAAAAAUUUUACUCUGAAGGGAUUUGAUGGAAAGGUUCUAAAUUUGGAUCAUUUUGUACUUAAGCUAAUUUGUUUUUGUUUGGUUUUAAUAUCUUAUAAUUUUUUUUUUUUUUUACUUUUGGUCAGUAUAAGUUUGACAAAUAAAAGAUUAAUAAUUAAUGAUGUAUAAGACAUACAUGACUCAUUUCAGGAACAAAAAAGAAAAAAAAAUGUUUGUGAACUUCUUAACUAUAUUUCAAUAAUUUAUUGGUAAAUGUUAUAAAAAAAAAAUCCCAUACUUUUAUGAGUUUUGUGAGUUAUAUUGUUCCCACCAAUAGGUGAAUAUGAGAUCUACUACUACUCUUGGCAAAAUCAAUGCUCAUCCAUUAGCUAUUACUUUCCUUUUUUUUUAGAUGCAUGCUAGUUGUACAUGUCAUGAUGCAUGUUUCACUUAAUUAAUAAAUAAGAGAAGUUUAAAAUAAAUAAAUAAAUAAAGAAAGAAAAGAAAGCCUGAAUAAUUGGAAAAGAUGGUGCAUGUAUGAUUUGGCCUAGCUCUUUUUUAUUUUUUGUUUUUUUAUUUGCUAUCAUGGAAUCUGCUUCUUCUGCCUCUACUUUCAAAUUGAGUAGUAGCAAAACAAGGGGAGGAUAAGAAGAACAAAAGAAGCUUUAUUCUCUCCCCCUUUAUUUCUUUUGCUUUGUUCUUUUCCCACCAUUUAUGAUGGUGCAUUGGUGCAUGGUUCUUGAAGCUAGUGGAUAUUGGUGGUUGGGAUAAAAAGUAUCUAUCUAAAGUUGGGAAAAAAAAAAAAAAAAGAAAAGAAGCUAAAAUGUGAUUUUUCUCUUCUUUUUUUUUUUCUUAAUUUUGUGAUCUAGUAACUUAGUUGAAAGUGGAGAGGGGCAAAAUAAUUUUCGACCGUAAACUUAUUUGCGUUGUCAGAUUCGCUGUAAAUUAAUUAAGUUCGGUCCUAACUCAACCUUUUCAAAAUGUUGCAAUCGGCUUUACUUUGAUUAACAGCAGAGUCAGUUAUUGGGAGCAAAGAAAAAGGAAAAUAAAAAAAAAAAUUAAUUGUUGUAACUUUUUAUAACUCUCUUGUGUGUUACUGUGAAAAUUUUGGGCGAACCAUCUAUAGGAAGUGGGAACACAUGUUUCAAAAGCCAUUGACUUGUAAACUAAUUUUCACGUAAACUUUAGUUCAUCUGAAAGUGAAUUUCAGUUACAAAAGCAGUUAUGAACUAAAUAUAGGCCCCUAAUUAAUGAUCUAACCUUCUAAAAUGGCAUUUAUAGUUUGAUAAAUGAGAAUCAAAUAUCAAAUGACUACUUUUAAAAGUCUCCACAAAAGCUGAUGUGCUUGUAAUCACAUGUGAUGUGUGCUAAUUAGUUCAUACGUAUCCUCUAAGAUACUCCUAAUACAUUAGCGGUAUCGGAGAAACCAUAUAAGAGUAUCUGAGCAGUUCUCUUAUUAAUUUAGCAGAUUAAUUUUUUAACUAAAUAGUAUAAUUAACCAUAAAUUUUUCCCUGAAUAUUGGCAGCCAAAAAUCAACAAAAAGUAGUUCACCAUCAAAACCAUCAGAAGCAGUGUUUGAUGAUGAUUCAUGGAUCGCAAGUUUGGCCACAGGGGGAGUAAGCGCAGCUACGAGGAGAAGAACAUUCUCAAUAGUGGAAGCUUCAUUAACCAUUGCAGCUAUUAUUUGUUUCCUACUCCAUUAAUUUACUUCUUAAUUUUCUUGGGGGGAAAGUUUGUUUGUAGUUUGCAUUAGAUAACUCUGUUUAAUAUAUAAAUAUAGUAACUUAGUGCACAAAGGUGCUAUAUUUGUGGUAAAAGUUUAUGGACUUCAAUCAUUUCAGCGCAAAAUUUGAAGGUUUAAUCUCAGUCGUUCAUCCUUAUUUUAGAAAACAAAAAAAAAAAUUAAAAUGAAAUGAUCGUAUGAAUGAUGAAGAUUAGUAACUUAUGGUCUCUGGAUCGAAUCGUGCCACAAGCUAGAAUUGGUUUCGCAAAAGUCAAUGUAAAUAAAGUGUUAACGGCUGACAUUAAGUCUUCAAUCUUUAUUUUGUUAAUGCGCAUUUUUAUAUUGAGCUGGACUUAGCGCCUUCAAGUACCGCUCCCUUUGGGGUUACGAACAGAUUGCAUUACUCGUGCCCGUAAAUAAUUAUACGUCCUCAUAUCGUACUAAUUCGGUAUUUAAUACGUAGUUCCGUUGAAAAACCAAAAAAGCAUAUUUCUGUACGCUCCUUCCUCAAUACCAAAUUGGCCCCACUUGUGCACAAGGAUUGGGGAAUCCCUGCAGUCUCUUUAUUUUCAGAGUUUGAUGCUUUCACAAAACAAUCUGACAGAUGCUUUUGUUCACAUUUGCUCCGCAGAGCGCUUCCAAAUGAAGCAUCUGAAUGAUGCACCCAGAGAUACAAAGAGGAAAGGGAGCAUAUAUUCCUGAAGCCUGUAUCGAAGCGCAAUUUGAUUCAGUCUUUCACUUCAACAUAUUAGUCUCUGUCCUCGCAAAUCAGAAUUCAUGUGGAUCUUAACUUUCAGUGCAUUUUUCUACCGAAAUCGCUAACUUUUGACAGGAGUCGAGCAAUUUAAACCAAACAAAUCAGAUUAAGAUUGCCAAAAUUUCAAUACACCACAGCAAACAACCCAGCAAAAGAUAAGAGAAAUUCAACAUACAACCAGUUUAGUUCUGAGAACAACAUCUUCAUUGAUAAAGCAUGCCUAAAAACAAUUUCUCUUCGAUCUGAUGACGAAUCUCAACAACCAAAGAUUAGACAAUUAAAUAAAGAAAAGUGAAUCAAUUAUAUAUAAUGUUUUCCCCAAAAACUUUAUGUGAAUAACUUGAUUUGUAUACACCAAAAGAUUAUUCGGCAAAAUACGUCAAGGGAAUCUCCUAUUUGCUUCGCGUACAAACAUUCUCCGGCAUCUCUGCCCAGGCCUCUUUAGACCAAACGGGCGGCUAAUUAAUUGCUAGAUAUAUUUAGAUCAAAUCUUUGGGGAAUCUCUUGCUGUGUCAAAAGUUGAGAGUGCACUAAUUAAGUUGAUACAAAAGUCAUAAAGCUACUAAUAAAACAAAUAAGAAGAGUAUCAUAUUGGUAGAUAAUGUACCAAUGGAGACCCAAUAUGAAGCACUCUUUAGAUGGAGAAAGAUAAGAUGAGAUUCCGAGAAGUUCACAACUCAUGAUUAAGCAUCUAAUAAUUGUCUAAGAUGACAAGAGGUUCCGAGAGCCGGUACUAAAUUCACAACUCAUGAUUAAGCAUCUAAUAAUUGUUUAAGAUGACCUUAGGGUAUUAAAGAUUAAGAGCUAACAAAACUUAAAAGCUCAUUCUAGAACGUAAUAAACAAAUCAAGAGACAAAGUUAAUCUUAUACUGUCGCACCGCUCUGACGAUAAAAGCCAGAAAUCUCACAAAAAAUUGGAAAAUAAAAAAAAAAAGUCAGGAAAAAUUAACAAUGUGCUGCUGCUUCCUUUCACAAGUUUCAAUUGGUCUCCCUGUGAUUCGACUUGGUAAUAGUGUCGUGGAAUUCAUUGUUAGUGCUCCAAAAUAUUAACCUACUGCAGCAAGAUGUAAUCAGCAAUCACUAUCCUUAAUACAUUCAUGCUCAGUUUUCAAUAUUUUAUCAAAAAAGAAAAAUACGUUCCUCUCCUGCUAAUCUACCGAAAUAAGCUUAGAAAGGAACCUAAUUCAUGGUUCUUUAUAACAUGAUUCCGGUCAAUAUCUUAAUACAAAUGCUUUCUUUCCCAGUAAUAUAUGUUCUCACUAUAGCGCAUUAAAGCAACAAAUGGAUAACAGACCGGAAUCAAUGGUCGGACAAAGAUAGUAGUUCAUAAACAACAUGCAGGCAUGAAGUGAUAUGUUACUGAGAUGAACACAAACAAAGUACGCAUGCUCUACGAUGGUCAGCAGUGGAAUCAACAUGCAAAAUAAGCUCAGAAGUGAUAUGUUAUUGAGAAGAACACAAACAAAGAACGAUCGGCUGCUUUUAAGAGCUUGAAAUGAAAAGCUUGUUUUGAUAAGCAACAACCAGAGUUGUUCGUCCAAUUACAUGCUGUUCGAAGAGUGCUGUGCAGUCUCCUUGAAUAACCAAGAGAGUUUAGCUACUCACUCAUUCAAAACUAGAGAAAACUAAGAAAAACAAUAUUUGGUUUCUUAGGUGUUUGGUUCCUCAGUAAUGUCACUCAAAUUUCCGGAGAUAAGAUGUUAAUGUGUUUGGUUCGACAACCUCUUGAUGAUAAUCGUGGCAAUACUACAGAAAAUUUCCCAAUAAUAAGCAUGACUAUUCAUAUCCUCGCACUGAAGCUAGAAUUCAAUAACAAACACACUAUUUACCCUCAUGACUAAAAAAUUUCAAAUAUUUUACCCAAAAUCAAACAAUUACAAAUGAAAAUUGACUUGAUACAAAAGUUCAAGGAAGUGAAUCUAGAGAUCUGAAAUAUUACAUAUAACAGAUUUCAACAGCAUGAAAAUCACAUAUAAUAGAAUGAACGUUACACCUUGCCAACAAGUGAAACAAUCAAAAUUACCAUCGAAAACAAACAAGCCAAACAAAUGGAAAAAAAAAAACACAUUAAAGUUUAAAAUAAUCAAUAAUAAACUUCAUUUCAAUAUAGAAAAAUCACACAACACAACAAGUCCAUGCAAUCGGUAACGCCAUCAAGAAACAAUAAGCCAAAACAAUAUCAUGCAGUGGUAGCAAGUUGAAACUAAGCACAAUGAUAUCCAAAAUUAGCAAGUCCAAGUAAAAAUAUUUACCUACAUCCACCUAUAACCUGAAGAACAAGUAGCCGAAAAGAUCAAAGAGCUUAAACAGUACCGUUAAUCAUUAUUCUAGCAAAUACUUUCACCUACGCGCACGCAGGAUUCGACUAACAUAUAACUUCCUAAGCUCCACGGGCACUAAGUAGAACACAUUCAUUUUGCUUGUGUCGCUCGAUAGGAUUACAACAGCAUCCAUGAGAUCCUCACGCGAAAGUCCAUCAAUCUUCGAAAGCUCAUCGAACAGCCUCUGCCCUCUACUCGCUUCAUCUGCCAUGUAUUGGAAACAGCUAGCUAACUUGGAGAUGCUUUCGGUAAACUUUGCAAAACUCCCUACAAUUGAGCGCAAAGUUGAGAUCAUGGUCCUGUCGACAUCAACAGAUUUCCGCUUCGUUCCUCUACGUGUACCAGACCCUCUACCUUGAGAUCGCGGGUUUGAGCAGGCUGCCGUGUUAGGCUUCGUCCCCGAGCAUGCAGAACUCUGCUCUGCACUCGCGCCAUCACUUUCAUCCGCGCCAAGGACAUCCUCCAUCUCAACCUGCAGACCGGAAGCACGCGCAGCCAAUUCUUCUUGCGCUGUGGCUACCACAGCAUUUGCCAAGGGUUCUACUGCAGCUUCAGUUGCAUGGUCCUUGCCGAAAACUACAGAUAACUCCACGUAGGGGAAGGAUUUCCCUCUUAAUCCCGCAGCACUAGGAUGACUCUGCAUAUGUUCGUGUAAUCAAACAACUUAGAGUUAACAUUUAUGUAGUUACAAUAAUAUAGUAGAGAAAUGUAAUACUAGCAUACCACGACCCAAUCGUCAUAAACGCUCCUCUCGCAUGUAAUCGUCUUAUCCUUGCCGUCCCAACCAAAGCCAUUCACGGCUGCUCCAAGCAUUUCUGCUAUAGCGUUAUACUGCCUUUUCCAAAGUUUUAUUCGCGAGGUAAUGUGGGGUCGCGCUGUAAGCCCGCAACCCGGCAAUUUCUCGCUCAUCAAUUUCUCCAACUGUUGCAAGAACCCACAUCGAAAGUUGCCGUUAUCGGCCCUCCAGUGACCUGAAUUUGUGAGACCCAAUAAGCACUCGAUAAGCUUAUCGUCUUCCUCCUUAGUCCACUGAUGUUUGAUGCCUCUAUUCCUUGGCUUUCCUUGCGGAUUUCUUCGAGCCGCCAUCCUAUCAAUGAAAAUGGCAUAAAGUAGACAUCCGAAAAAAAAUUCUGAGACAUGAACUGAAUUCUAAUUCUUUAAAACCAAAUAUUCGGCGACAUAAUCCCCGCAAUUGGAAACAACUGAUCAACGCACAGCGGUUGAUCUCAAAAUCGAACGGGUAUUCCUGCAACAUCAAACGUCAAGUAGCCACCGCGUAUUCGGAGAAUGUAUGACGGCGAUCUUACCGACUUAUGCAACAUUGAUCGAAUUACCAAACAAACAUGUUAACAUGUAAAACAACAACAACCUGUAGUUCACAUGUUUAAGCAGCUGACGAAGGAGUGGGACCUGCUUAAUCCAGCAAGGCGAACCUCGGUUUAAGCAGAUCACAUGUUUUUUUUUUCUUUUUUCUUUUUUUUUUCUUUUUUUUUUUUUUAUCUCGCCCCCCGGCCCCCCAAGGCCUUUACUGCCUCACCUCUGUAGCCUAGUUCAUAUUCCCAAUGAAUGAAGCGGGUAGCGUGCUACCUCUUUCUCAAAAAAAAAACAACAACCUGUAGCAGGAUUCGAACCGACGAGUUCUCGUGCGAGCACGCCAGUAAUGACUGCAAAAAUUACGGGCUAGGUUUAUAGCAAAACCCAACAUAUUCUAAAUUAGAACAAUGCAUAAUCUACAUAGUUAUGGACAUAACAAAAGGAGAAUUACUAUGCAUCUAUAUAUUAGGAUUUGAAGCACCAUCACAAACAUAUAUGCAUCUUUUAGUUCGCAACUUGGAUCGAACAUAGAUCUUGCAUCAAACGGAUACCUGCGACAGGAGAAAGCGCUUUCGCCUACCGAGCUCGCUCUCGGGUUCGCCUUUGUACUGUGCCCUAGCUCCCGCCCAAAUACGAAAUAGAAUUAAUGAAUUACGCAAAAAUGUGCGGAUGGUCCCUGUACUAUUCCGGAAUUGUUAUUUCGUUCCUGAACUUUCGCAACGGGCCGUGUGGCUUAGUGUGAUAUAUAUUCGUGAGGGAAUGGGUAUCGGCCCAAUAUCGGCCCAUUAUUAGCCCAAAAUUGCUUUCCUUUGUUACUCAUUUUUUGCUUCUAUAUUUUAAAUAUUGCUCCUAUAUAUUAUUUUGAGCCUCUUCGGUAUAGCGUAGCGUGUCUCUCUAAAUUCGCCGUAACUUUUCUUUCAUUUUUAGGAGUGGGCUCCAUCCCAAAACAGCGCAAGUCCACAUACUUUUUUUUUAUUUCGCUCGAACCGAAUCGAAUUUUUCUUUCUUUGCUUAAAUCGAACCAAUCAUUUAAAUGCGGGCUCCCCCGACCCAGCUCAAGUCCUCCAUAUAUAUAUAUAUAUAUUUUUGCUUGAACCAAAUUGGGUUUUCCUCUUUUUUUUUCCUUGAAAAGAAUCAAGUCACACCUCUGCAUUGCAUUGGACCAAACUGUUCUUCUUCCAUUCCCUAUUUUUUUCUCUUAUUAUCUAACCGUCGAAUCACAUGGAUUACUAUAGUAGUAUAUCAUAUAAGCUGUAGAAUGAGAAGGUUGUUGCAUAUUAGAGUAAGGCUCUAUUUGGGAUUAUAAAAAAUUACGUUACGGAUAGUUAGAAAGUGCGAUAAAAAAUAAUAUUUAUUUUUGUAGCGUAAUAUUACUUUCUGCAUAACAAAUGAAUUGAUUAAUAUAUACUUUCUGUAAUCCCAUUGAAGAAAGAAGUAUGUUCUUAUAUAUUUUUAUUCUAAUUCUGUUUUUCCUACUAAGCACACUAAUACAUACCUAUAUAUUUAAGUUUCGAGCAUGUUAAAUUAUACAAAACAGACGGUGUUCUUCAAAAUAUUAAACUAUCAGAAAAUAAUAUUAUUAAUAUUUAUAUUUAACAGAGUAGUACUAUAGAAUUAUCAUUGAUCUGUGACUCAGUAAAUAUCAUUGAUGAGUUAAUAGUUUCACAUAAUUUUGACUGAUUAGUGCUUUACCUUUAAACUUAUGAUCUUAUUAAGGUGCCACAAGAAAAUGCUCAAUCAUCAGCAACAGUUCGAAAUUUUCAAGCAUAAAAUUAUUCCAUAUAUGGCUAUUGAUAGCUUCAGCAAUUGUUUUAUAUAAAACACAUGGCAUCAGUAGCAUCGUACAAGAUAUUCUACAAAGAGAUAAAAGAGCUUUUUUCUAAAUAGUUAUUUUUAUUUUAUGUAGAAAAAGCAUAAUUCACAAAAAUAUUUUCAUAUUCCUUGCUCAAAUUAUGCAUACCCACUGUCACAUCAUGGCAAAAUAAAAUUAGUUUGCUUUAUACAUUUUGUGUGAAUAUGCUAAAAUGGAUGUGGUAACAUCAAUUACAAGAACUCAAACUUGUACAUAUCUUCUAUGCGACCCCACCUUGCUGAUCCACCCAUCCGAGGAAGAGAUUGAAAAAAAAAGAAAAAGAAAAAAAAAAGUGUAAACUUAUUUUGGCUCUCAUAACCAAACUUAUUUCACAAUCCAAUCCCACUUCACCUCUAAACUAAUUUAUUACUAGCAUUCGAAAAGGUUGAAAAAUUAAGGGGCAAUUGUUUGUAUACUCUUGAAAAGUUUUCAACUUUCUAAUUUAAUUUUCUUAGAAGGUUAAUAUUGAAAAAAAAAAAUUUACGUUCAAACCUAUUUCAAAUAUGCCUCUAGAGUUAAAUUUUAUUAAUAAAUUAUUAAUAAUAGCUGUUAUCUAUAUAAAAUUACUAUUUUGUCCAUUCAAAUAUACCCUUUUAUCAUCACUGACUUUUCUUAUUUGCCAUUUAGUUAGGGGCAUAAAAGGUAUUUUGAUUUUUGCUCUUUUCAAAUAUAUCCUUCUACUAUUACUAAUAUUUCUUAUUUGCUCUUAAGUUAAGGGCAAAAGAGGUAUUUUAAUUUUUUAACUCUAAUAGAUAUUUAACUCACGUUUAACUCAAAUUAACUUAACGAGUAGCAACUGCUGAUGUUUUUUAUUUGCAUUCACGCCUUUUGGAAAGAGCCGCUAACUUCGAUCCAAGCAGUUUAUGUACCUGCGGAUAACGGAGGGUAUAUAUGAGAAGUAUAUUGGAAAGGAAAAAAAAAAAAAAGAAAGAUAUUUUCAAAAUUUUGAGAGAUAUACAGGUAAUUAUUCUAAAAUUAAAAAAAUGUAGAUAUGCACGUGAGGGAUUAGAAUCUUGACCUAUAUAAAAACCUCUCGAAAUAAGAAUUAGUGUACUAGGAAAUGGUUAUGAACCAAACAUUGCUUUGAUGUAGACCCAUUCAUCAAAUGUUUCUAAUUUUAUAAGUUAGGUAAUUGGACAACUCAAUCCAAAAAUAGAAGUGUGAGAAAAGCACAUCAGUAACUUAAAUUCCUUUUGUUAUGUGGUCCCAUCAAUUAUUCAUUUGUUGGGUUCUUUAUAGUUGCAUGGUAGUAGUGAUUCCUUGCACUAUAACUUGGGAAAUUCCUUCCCCCAUCACUUCCCUCUUCUGGAGAAUAUGAUUAUUCUUAAGAAAACACCAAAUACAUAUAAAAUAGCACUUUUGGUACACCAAAUAACUAAUUCUAUUUAAGCCCCUAUAUUUUAAGUAAAUUAUUUUGAGCUCUUGGUUUCUCAAGAUCUCAUUAUAAAUGUGGCAAAAAUUAAGGGGUAGUAUGUAAACUGUUUAAUUUUUAUUUAAUUAAAUUAAGCCUCUAUAUUUAAUUUUUUUUUAUUUGAGCAUAUGAUUUCUCGACCUAACACUCAAGACGCGGAAUGCUUCAACACAAACAUUCUAUAUUGUGCAUGGGAUGAAAGUGACGACAUUGAAUAUGAUGAGAUUAAGCCUAACACAAUGAAUAAGUAUAAAAAACAAAAGACUUGAGAAAAAGCAAAUUAUCCUAAAAAUUAAAAAUGUGAUAAUAAAAAUAAAUUCAGAAUUUAAAAUCUUAAAAAAAUCAGAUAAGAGUUAGCAACUAACUGUAUAAUUAUCCGUUUUUUGAAAAUGUGACGUGGAAGAAUGUUAGCUAUUUUGACAUUUUUGUCCCUAUCCAUCUCGUACCUUACGUGGAACAGAAACACCACCUUUUCCCUCUCCCUCAACUCCUCGAUUCCUCUCUCUCUCUCUCUGUUUUAUAUCGCUAAUCCGUGGACUCGAAGCGAAGGCACAUCGUGAGAAGCACGAGAAAUAAAAAGAGAGGGGGGAGAAGAGAGAGAGGAGAUGGACUUGUACCAGGAGUUUCUCCUCACCGCGCUCGUCUCGCUCCUCCUCGCCUUCCUCCUCGGCAAGCUCGCCGGCGCCGGCGAACCCGAGAAGGUCCCCGCCGUCGCCGCCGACGGAGGGCUCGACCGGGUCGAGGAGAGCUCUCCUUCCCUCGACGAGGCAGGCGACGAAGCUACCGAACUCAGAUUGGGGGGAACCCUUGCGAAGGCGAUGGAUUCGGUGGUGGAGAUCGAGAGGAUCGGCGCGGAUCCCGCCGCGGAUGAGAUCAAAGAGGUGGUGGCGGAGGAGGAGGAGGAGGAGGAGGAGGUUCGGGAGGAGAAGGGGCGGUCUCUGCUCCACGGGGAGGACGAGUGGGAGGGGAUCGAGAGGAGCGAGCUCGAGUUGCUCUUCGAUUUCGCCGUCAAGUAUGCGAGUAGCGAGAGCGGUGCGGAGGCGGUGGCGAAGCUCGGCAAUGGCGCUCGGAUGCGGUUGUACGGGCUUUGCAAGGUCGCGACGGAGGGGCCGUGCUACGAGCCGCAGCCCAUGGCGUUGAAGGUCGCCUCCCGUGCCAAAUGGUUGUGCUUCUCCCUAUCCUUUAACAAAUUCCUCAUUAUGUUUACAAGGUUCAUUGUUUUGCUCUGAUUUGAUUUGAAUCUUCUGUUCAUGCUUGAUUCAUUUUUGUCUCUGAGCUUGUUUGGUGUUUAAUUGAGGUUUUGAUUUAAAAUUUUAAGCAUUGUUUGCCAUUUGGAUCAUCUCCAAUAGAAACAGCUGAACACAAAAAUCAGAAAGCGUUUCUGAAGAAUGAACAGUUAUUAGAGAUGUACAUGAUGAGGCAUCUAGAAAAGGAAAGCACAAAAAAUAAUAUAGUGAAUUUCAAUUUGACCCGUACGUGUAGGGAUGUCGAUGGAUAUAGAUACCCGAAAUUUUAUCCAAACCCGAACCCGAACGGGGUGGAUUUACCCGAUGCUAAAUGGAUAUAGUUUUGGAUAUGGAUAUAAAAAACAAAAAUCCGACGGAUUUAGAUUCGGCUAUGGAUUUUGAUUGUAUCCGACCCGAACCCGAACUCGAAGUUAUUUUACAUUAUUUAUAAUAUAUAUGUUUGAUAUUGUACUUAAAUUUGUAUUUUGAAAUUUUGAUUUAAUGUAAUAUAUUUUGAAAUAUUGUAAAGAGAAAUAAUUGUUUCUGAGUUCCGAUUUUCAUGUUUGGACUCGGGGUCGGAUUUUAGAUUUUUGGUCGAGUUCGAGUUUGGAUAUGGAUUUUUUUAAUUCGUCGGAUUCGGGUUCGGUUUCAGGUUUCGGGUUUGGUAGUUGGGUUCGGGUUCGGGUUUUUGAAAUCCGCCCCGAAUCCGACCCGUUGACAUCCCUACCUUGUGAUUUAGCGCAUUUUACUUGUCAUACUUGGUUUGAAAAUUUGCACUAGCUACUUUGUAAUUUUUUUUUUAUUUCACCAAAAAACCCUUGCCAUCAAAUUGGAUAGUAAAUUGAAAUUUCUUGAAAUCCACCGGUAUCAUUUUUUCCAAUAGAUCCUUACAGUGAAAUAAAAAUAAAACAAAAAAAUAGUUAAAUGUAACUUUUGAACCAUCAGGGUAUCAAAAUGAAACCGUGCUAGAUCAUAGAAUAGUUAAGUAUAACUUUUUGAAUUACAGAAUGAUAAAGUAAAAAUAUGUCAAAACCAUAGUGGGAUAAAUCAAAGUUCACCCAAAAAGAAAAAAGAGUAUUAGGGGACAUCUAGGAUGGAUAAUGUCAAUAAGAUGAAUCUAGGAAAAACAAAAAAAUGUAGCUAUAGUUUGACGAUAAUCGUUCAUGAUGCUUUGUAACUCAUAUUUCUUGCUGCUUUCGAUAUGAGACUUCCCUAUUUUUGCUUUCCCGGCAUGAGCGAAGACUAUCCGUGAUCCAUGUUCUAUCAAGUGCUAAAGGCUUCACGCAUCUACUACAAGGUGCCAUGCUGUGUAAAUUUGAAAAAAAAUGCAAAACAGGACGGAGCAAUGAUUCUGUGUAGAUCUAUACUGUUAUCAGAUAAGCAGAGUAUGUACUGUUGUUGACGACUUAACCGAAGGCUCUCUUUGGUCUCUAGGAAUGCUUGGCAGAGACUGGGUAACAUGAAUCCAGAGACGGCUAUGGAGCAAUAUGUCACUCUUCUUUCUGAAAGCAUUCCUGGAUGGACGGGUGAAAAAAUCAGAGUAGGUUUAUUCAAAUUCUUGUUCAUAGCUUUGAGAUGGAAAAAUGUUUAACUUUCUAGCAACACUUGUUAGGAGGAUGCCACAAACUCUGAUGGCAAUGAUUCUUUGUUUACGGUGGUCUCUGCAACAGAGACACCUGUUACAAGUUCAACUAUCCACCACCAUCCAGAGCCUGCUGUUGAAAGGUAACUAACAACGGAACAAAUGUUUAAACGAACUUAAUGGCCAGUUGACUAGCGAAAUGCCUUACAGAUUACUAGAAGAUUCUUCUUCCAUUGGAAUUGAUAAUGCAGGCAUUGGUCAGAAAUUUUCCGACCAAGGUAUGGUGACUUCUUUUUUUUUUUUUUUUAUCUGUUUUGGUUUUAUAUACCAUAUUUCAUAUUUCAUAUUUCAUAUUGCAUGUAUGUAUUUCCUAUUGUAUGUACCUGAUAUGAUGUUUUAGUACAUUUCAUUUGCAAAUGCCAGAUUAGGUUAAACACAUUGCGUUAUCUGGGAGUUAUUCUCUACAUUGUGACAACACUUAUGGUGUAUAACAAAUUUUUAUAACAAAUUCUUAUUUACCCCUAUGCAUUAAAAAUUGCGCUAAUUAUCUCCCUACAUUUUGCCUUUGUAGAUUUGGGAUAAAUGGUGACUUAUGUUGAAAAACUUCACUAAAGAGAGUUUGUUUAUCAUAUUAUUCUACAUCUCAAAAAAUUAUAAAAUAUUAAAUAAAAUAGAUAUUUUAUUUUGCUAAUAUUAUCAAAAUCAAUAGUUUAUCUAAUAAUUUUAUUAAAUUUAUAUGAUUCUACUGCAUUAAUUAAAGCUAUGUCUGUUUCGACAAAGUUUUACAGUUGAAUUCAAUAAUUAUCUUAAUUUUUUUGAAUCUAUUUAAAGGAAUGGUAAAGUGCAGACCGGCACCGGCACGACCACCGGCCAGCACGACCACAGUACGGAUGCUAUAGUACCCGUGCCGGUUAGGCCCGAUCCGGCCCGUUACACUUGGCUGUGCUGGACCGCUGCUCUUGGGCCCGUCGGCCCAGCAUGGCCCCGCCGGAAACAGGCCUAGGUUGUGCUGUGCUGGGCCAAGGGAGCGUCCUGCGGCCCAGCACGACAUGGCCCACUUGGGUCUUGCCAACUGGGCCGUCAGGGGCCUGGGCCCUAAGGCUUGCAUUGGGCCUCGGGGUGUAAUCUCCUUGUGAGAAGGGCUUGGCUCCAAGCCCUUUUCCCAAGGAGCUCUCUUUGAGUAGUUUUGGUCCAAUGGACCAAACCUCUUUUGGUCCAUCGGACCAAAACCCUCCCAAUUCACCUUCUUUAAAAAACAAAAAUAAAAAUUUAUAAUUUUUUUUAAAAAUUAAAUAUUUGUUAUUUUAUAAUUAUUUUUAUAAAUUGUAAAUUCUUUUGAUCAAAAUAUCAAUUUAAAUAUGAAUAAUUUAAAUUUUCAUAUUUCUAAAUUUUAUAUAUUUUUAAAAAAAUAAAAAAUUAAAGUGGCCGGGGUGGGCCAGGCUAGCCGCUAGCCCAUUUUGGCCUCGAGUAAUUGACAUAAUUUUUAAUACAGGGAGGUGAUUGAGACAAAGGGCUAAAGUGCAACGGGUUUGUUUAAAAUUUAUUCAAGUGUUAACCACUUCAAGUCUUUAGAAUAUUCUUUGUUUCCAACUUAUAUCUUCCAGAGGGCUGGUUUUGUGCAUGCCAACAUGUGUGUGCGCAUUUUCCUUCUUGCUCUUUUUUCUUUUUUUAAAUUCUCAGCUUCAAAGUCAUUACAUGUCAGACAUAUUAUUAUUCAGCAUAGAAUUUCUUCACCUGAAUGUUGUCUGGAGUUAUAGAUGAUACAUUAUAUACAUUUGCAUAGGGCUGUACUUGGUUCAAUUUGGUUUAGUUUACGGGAAAUGUUUAAACCUAACCAAAAUUUUCAGUGUGGAGAAAUGCAGAACCUAAUCAAAUCCUAAAUGCUACUUCGUCUGGCGCAGGAGGAAUUGCAUAAUUAAUUGAAAGCAUGUUUUCUUUUCGAGUAAACAAUUAACCGAAAAUAUCACAUGCUCGCCUAUGCUUCUAUGUUAUUGAGAAAAAACUGAAACAAAAUUUUGAUUUGGAAAUCUGCUUCAAAUACUGUGCUAUGCAACCAUUGAUUUUACACCCCUGAUGUUUGAUGUGUGUCUCAUGACUUCCAUAUACGUCAAUUGUAACCACUUCUUUACGUAAGCAGAUGGUCUUUUUCUUCCUUUGCUUUUAACUGUACAAAAUUUCAUACUUCAUCUCAUUUUUUCCUUCUUUUAACUCAAAUAUGCUAUGCAUCAUCCACUUCCUUUUGUUUCUUUUGCUUUAUGGGCCUACAUUUUGUUGCAGGACACUCAAAAAUUUCCUGUUUAACCUGCACUCUCCGACAAGAGCUACAUUCUUAACUUUUCGUCCGUAAGAUGGACUUGUCCUGCUUCUGAGGAUUCGGAUAAACUGUGCUGCAGCUUUCCUUAGAAGAAGCACUUCCUAAUUAUAUCAUUGCAAUGCUUGUUCGGCAUGUAAAUUAUAUAGCAUUUUAGAUGCAUGUACAUAAAAUGUUCCCCCGUGCGUAUUGCAUUCUUCAUUUUACUGUGUCCAGCUUCUCUCAUUAGAGAAAUUAUCUCAGAUGAUUUCUACGAGUUCUGUGAAAUAAAAAAGAAGAAAUGCUUCUUAACUUACAAUGCAAGUGAUUUUUCCUGCUUCAAUGCUAUUUCUCUCUGCAAUGUAAGAAGCUUGGCCUUGUGCAUUAUUAUUUAUUCCAUCAAUAGUGUCUUAUCAAGUAACACGAAAAAAUCCUUCAAGAAUCAACACAUGCAGGUGAAGAAAGUAUAUGUAGUUACAGAAGCCGUAAACCAAGAUUAGCUCUUAACCGUCUGAUCUCCCGCCGCCGCCGCCGCCGCCGCCGCCGCCGACCUCUUUGAAUUCUUGUUCAUGUGGAUUCUCAGAUACACCUUCUUUGUCCGGACCGUCAAGAGCACGUCCAAUCCGAACCCGACGAGGCACGCGAACGCCAUGACGAAGAACACCAGGCGGUAGCAGUGGGCGCCGACGCAUGUGUUGCCGCCGCCGGCCGUCUUGGUGGCCUCUGCGUCAUAGAGGAGGCCCGCGAGGAGGCCGGAGAAGAGGAAGGAGCCGAGGGGGAGGUUGAGGAUGAGGAUGUUGUAGAUGAGGCCGUAGUACUUGAGGCCGAAGAGCUCGGAUGCAGCUGGGACCGUGAUGGCGAGGCGGAAGCCGUAGCAUACUCCGACGAUGACCGAGCCGAUGUAUAGAGAGCCCGGCAGGGCCAGGGCCAUCACGACGUACCCGACGGCCAUCAGGAUCUGCGAGGCUGCGUUCCAUAACGGCCGCGGAAUUGCGUUCUUCCUGAGAAGAGGUGGAAAAGGUGAGAGAGGUUAGGAGGAAAAAAUUCUUGACCAACUACAAUGCAAUCAAGAGAUAAGCUGCAGUUUUUCUUAAAACCUUCUCAAAAGACAAAAAAAAAAAAAAAAAAGGAAUCAUAAAAUUGAAACUAGUAUUCUCAAUAUUUGUAGAAAUAAGGAAUACGCACUUGAGGAAGUACUCGGAGAGGGUUCCCGAGCCGAUGCGGCCGAAGAAGCCCCAGAUGCUUAUCAAAGAUAUGAAGACGGAGACGUCGGCGUAGCCCAUCGCCGCGCCGAUCUGGCCCAUAUUGUUCAUCACCGUCAGCCCCGUCCCGACGCCGCAUAGGAACGAGAUGAACAGCACCCAGAAAUCCGUCGUACUCAGCGCCUCCGCUAUCGUGUGCUCAUCGCCAAUCCUUGGCCCCCUCCUCUUCCCCUCUGCCUCUGCCUCUGCCGCCGCCGCCGCCGCCGCCGCUGCCGCCGCCACCGCCAAUACUACCGCCUCGUCUCCCGCUACAGCCACCACCUCCUCCUUCUCCUUCUCCACCUCCUCCUCCUCCUCCUCUGCAUGCAGGAGUGGCUCCGAACGUUCUUCCAAAUCCAACUUACUCUGCUGAAUAUAAAAUAUUAAUUCAAGUACACGUCUUAGAUUUUAUUAAACAGUGUCAGAAUAUGAAAUAGUUAAGUAACGGCAUAACUCCUCAGCAUUAUGAAACAAGAGAUUUUCAAAUUAUGCCCUUUCAUGCUUUUAUUAGAUAUUAGAAUCUUUUAAAAAGUUAUUUUGAAAUAUAAACAUUGAGAAAAGAUGUUAAAUAUAACCGUUAGCUUAAGUUUUUAGAGAAAUUGGUACGCACAUUCCGUGCAAUUCUCGCCUUAACCGCCACGUAGACGGGCACCGCCGCCGGCGCCGCCAGGAGCAGGAAAAGCACGGCCACGAAUGCGGAGAUGGCGGCAACACCGGCCCCUCUCACCACCCCAGGGGCGAGGUCGAAGGCGAGGAGGUACACCGCGAUCACCACCGCGAUGGUGUUGAUCGCUGCGAAGCACCGCCCUUCCUCCUCCUCCUCCUCAUCGCGACCGCUGUCGCCAUCGGCGGGGGGAAAAUCGCGUAGGAAGAGCAUGGCAGCGGCGCAGAUGGCGGCAGGGGCAAUGGCGAGGAGCAAGAGGAAGGCGGCGGGGUUGUCGGGAAAGAGGGCAGCGGAGAUGUCGGUGAAGAUGGCAGUGCUGAGCCCGACGUAGCCCUUGAGGAUGCCCGACACCGGGCCGCGGUUGCGCCGGAAGUUGCGUAUGCACGUGACCAGCACCGCCGUGUUCAUCCACGUCGAGCUGUUCCCCCCCAUGCACAAGAACACGCACAUCUGCAUAGAGUUCGGAUAAAAAUUACUUUCUUUUCGCUAUAACUUUUUGUAUAAUUGUGAGGCUGAAGUUCCUAAGAUUUUACUCUUAUUCGGUAAAAAAAUAAACAACGUAAAAUUGAAAGCGUAAAAGAUGAGUUAAUAUUUAGCAUGUUCGAGGAAAUGCCUCAAAGAAAGAAACAGAGAAUGGAGACAAGUGAAGCGAAGCAUCUUCUCAGGUGUAGCUAGAUUGCACUUUUUCUGUUAUCUAAUUUAUGAUUAGCAUUUUCUCCUUUCUAUGAUUGCUAUUUUGUUCUUGCUGCAUGCAAUGAUGAGUUUUUCAUAGCAAGUAGUAAAAUAAUAUAUUUUAUAAACUGCAUAAUACUAAAAUAAUAAUAAGUUCAACUCAAAUUAAACAGUAAUAAUAUAAAGGGAAAUUGUCGUAAUUUUUUAAAAAAAUUAAACCGUUAUACCAUAAAAUUCAAAUUUAAAAUACCAUCGAGCAAUAUAGCACAAGAGUAUGUAAUUCAACGAGAGGCUAUGCUUAAUUUGAAAAUAAAUCGGAGACAAUAAAAUUUAUUCGUGCUAUUCUGCACGGUCUUUAAAAAUGGUCCCGACAAUUUUUUCAGUCAAAUCGGAUUAUUCUAAAUAAUCCUUCAAUAAUCAAAAAUAAUUAUUUUUAUUUUUUUUAGUGGAGUAACUAUUCUCAUGCUUAUAUCUGGCUAAUUUAAAAUACAAAUAAAUAAUAAUAAUUUUUAAGUUUAUAAUAAUAAUAAUGAUAAUAAUAACUGUUGUUAUUAUUAGUAGCAAUUGUACCACAACUAUUAUUAUUAUAAAUAAAAUAGGAUGUAUUAUAACCUAUAAUAAUAUGUUAAAAUAAUUAUUUUGUAUUAUUUAUAGGUAGGAGCAAUGUCAAAAGGACCCCUCAAAAGUUAUAAAAUAUUGUGGGUACCACAUCAAAAUUGUGAAUAUCACUAUCACUUUUGCCCCUGUAAAGUAAUAAAUUAUAUUAGAAAUACAUUUCAUCACAUCGACUAAAAAUUUUGGACUAAUUUACCCUUAGCUACACCUAAUUAUAAAUAAUUGUUUAGCAUCAUGUAGGGCUAUAUAAUAAAUUUAUUUUUUAACAGAAAAUAACUUGGUUUUCUUUUAUGAUUCAAUUUAUGAACAUGUUUUUUGCACACUUAAACUAAUUUAUUUUUUUAUCAACAUCAUAUAGGUCUUAUGUUAAUCAUAAUAAACAAUUAACUAUAACUAAAAAUAUUUCUACUUUUUAGUGAAUCUAAUUUCUUCUUUUGUAUAAAUUAAUAUGAUUUUUUAAUUCACUAUUUGUAUAGUAUAAUUUGCUGCAAUUAAUUACUUUUAAUAUGGUAUACAUUCAAUUGUACUUACAAUAUUUUCAAACAAAAUAAUAUUUAACUUAAUUAAAAAGGUAUUUACAAUAGAUGAUGGGCAAAAUAAAAUUUUAUUUAGUUUUUUAUGAAUUAUUGUUGAUCUAGAUAUUUACGAUAGUUUUUCUCAAUUAGAAGGGUAUUUUCUAUAUUGACACUUUUAUAAGGGAAUCUAUAUAAUUCAAGAUUGGAAGAAGAGUAUAUAUAAAAUUUGCUCUAUUUAUAUAUAUUUUGUUUAUUAUUUUAUAAUAUCUUUGAGAAAACUACCAAAUAAAUUUUUAAUUAUUCUUAAAUAAAAUAAAUCUUUAAUCAAAAAUAAUUUUAAAACUUAUUUUUCUAUAUUUCAGAAUAGUGAUAAUAUCUAAUAUGUCCUUUAAAAUUUUCAAAAAUAUCUUAUUUAUUUUCGGAGGACCAAAAUACCGGUAUUGAUUUUAAAAAAUUCUUUUCAAAUAUCUCUAUUUCUUUUAGAAUUUAAUGAUAAAAUUGAAUUCUACAAAGAUAUUUUGAUAAUUUCAGUUUAAAUUUAAAAAUUUUGAAUAGUUAUAAAAAGUAAGUAAGCAUAAGUGCUUUAAGAAUAACUAGUUAUUCCAAAAAAUUAAAAAAAGAAAAUAUUUUUAUGAAUAUUAACCCCCAACGAAACAUAAGUCAAAAAUUUUACAUCUUUAUGUAGGGGUAGUAUAUCUAAUAUAUCCUACAAAACUUUAAAAUACCUUAUUUAUUCUUAAAAGACCAAAAUAUCCUCCAUGAUUUUANUUUUUUUGAGAAAGAGAUAGGUAACACGCUACCUGCUUCGCUUAUUUCAUUUAAAAAUAAACUUAGCUGGAAAUAUGAAUCAACUAGAAUUCGAACUUGAGAGUUUGCGUACCAACCACAAAACCUUUUGCCACUUGCUCUAAGGAUGGUCGAUUUUUUUUUUUUUUUUUAGUUUGGAAAAAUAUUUUGAUAAUUUCAGAAUAAAUUUAAAAAUUUUGAAUAGUAGUGAGGGAUAAAUAAGCAAAAGCUAGCUCUCCUACCUGCCAGUAGGGGAGCGGCGCGAUGGCUCGGCGGACGACGAGCCACUGGGCGCCGUAACCGAUGAGGCCUUCGAGGGAUCCGAUGAGGAGUAUGGCGGGCAUGGGCAGGCGGUCGGAGGCGAGCCCCGCGAGCAGGCCGAACGCCUUGCCGACGUCCUUCGCCACCGACAGGUUGUUCAGCUGCAGCUGCGUCAGCCCCAUCAGCGACUUGAGCGCGUCCGAGUAGUUCGAGAACGUGUAGUUGUUCCCCGACACGCACUGCACCCACACCGCCGUCACGAACCCCAGCCACUUCCACCACGUCCCCCGCGACAACGACGACGUCACCGUCGCGGACGCGGUCGCCGCAUUCUUCGCCAUUUUCGACGUUGAUAACUUUGCUUAGAAGACGAAGAGGAAAGAGUUGUGGGGUGGGAACGAAAAGUGAGAGAGAUAGGAGAGAGGUAUUUAUAGACACUCUCACGAAACAAAUAUCUUUGAUGAUCACCAAGGGAAUCUAUCUAUAUUCUAAUAAUUAUACUGCAUCGUUAAUAACCAGACAAUUAUAUAUUUUUUUUUUAAUAAAUAAAAAUAAAAAUAUUUUUUAAUAGUCAUAGCGUGAUGGGUGUUGAACUCAAUAAAAUAAUCUUAUUAGUUGGAAACGCUACAUCAAUAAUAUAACUGUUGCAUUCUAAACUUUUUUCAUUGUAUAUGAAUAAAAUUAUACAAAACUUAUCUGAAUUUCGGACUAUUUUAAAUCGGCCUGGUAAAUUUUUUAAAUUUUAAUUUAGCUACUCAAAUUUUUAAUUCAUUUAAUUUUAACGAGUCAACGGCUUUCUAAUUUUUAAAGUUAAGCUAAUUAUGUACCUUACGAAUUAAGUAUACUAAUGAAAUUUGUAAAGAGAAAUACAAUAUUUAAAUUUUGAAGUCAAUAAAAAAAAAUUGAAGGAUUUGAUAGUAAAAUAAAAAUUAUAAAACGUUGGGCAACCAAAUUAAAGUAAUCCAUGAAUGAUUUGACUCCAAAUCCAUUAUUUGCGCCCCUAAAACUAUAUACUUGAUUAAAAAAUAGGUAAGAAUUGUGAGAAAGUCCCCUAAAUAAUAGAUUAUUUUUGAAUAUUUCUCUAAAUUUAUUACUUAUUCAUAAAUAUUUGUUUUAGUCAAAUUAUUCAACAAAAUUACUGCUUUUCAGCAAAAAAAAAAAAAAAUGUAAAACUCAUAAUAUAGUUAAUGAUCAAUAAUAAAUUUAAAAUCAAUUAUAUGCCCAACUAAGUAAUGUAAUUUAAAUUUAAGAAAAAUAAAAAUAUUUUAAAAAUAUUAAUAAAAAUAUCUCUAUUUUUUUACCUAAAUUUAGAUAAUUUUUGUAGAAUUCUGAAACAGUUAAAAAGACAUGAAUUAAGGAAGAAAGGAACAAAAAUUUGCGUGAAUACAGGAUCGGAAAAAGACCUUUUUUUUCUUUUCUUUUUCUUUUUUUUCCGCUACUGUAAAAAUCGUGCUCAGAGAGAAAAGGAUAGAGAGGGAUUAAAUAAAAAAUAUUACAAAAAGUAAGGAACCAAAAAAGAAAAAAAUGAGGAAAAAAGGGGGGUUAUGGUGGGGACAAAAUAAUGGUGGAAAAGCGUGUGAGAUUUGCUUCGGCCGUUGCUUCUCAGCUUCCCACCGCAGCGGUUUACUUAAGCCACUGAAACUUUGCCUACAUAGCCGGCGCAGAAAUUCGUGCUUGUUCAUGGUCCCAUUUUCCUAAAAAUGGGACACAUUGAAUGUACGUACAUUGACCAAAAGCGUGAUUUUUUCUGAUAUUAAUUUUUAAAAUCAUUAUUUAUACUGGUACCGAUAUUAAUUAUGUGAAAGAUACAUUGAAGGAGAAGGAUACCUAAACUAAUAUUUUAUCUAUUUUAUUAACAAAAUGUAUCUAAUUACAUCUUCGUUGACACCCUUAGCCAUAUACCGUCAUGUCUAUUGUGGCUAAUUCAUCUAAUUAAUUGACGUCUAGCUAUAUAUAUAGCUACGAAGUGAUAACUGAUGAUAACUUCAAUUUUUAUUUUAGCUAAUUAUAAAUUUUACUCUAAUUACAUAAAUUCUUAAACAUAAUCGAAUCUAUAAUUUGGAUAAGUUCUAUCUUCGGCUAAAUUUUUUAAUAUUGAAUUAAGAUGAAAAUGCAAUGUAACUAUGUCUUAAACUUGAGAUCUAAGAUAUCAAUCAUCAAAGACGAUUGAUGAUGAUAAAUAAUUUAAGAGUCCAUUAAGUUGCUAAUAACUCAGAAUGGUUAUAGAAUGAAUGGUUAAAUUUCUGCACCAGUGUGGUCAUCUCAAUCUACCCUUUGAACUUGUCUCUUUUGGAAAAAAAAACACACAUUUUAAACUAAGAAAAGCUUCCCAUGGUGGUGUUUGGGAAUUUCAUCGUUUAGUUAGGCUUCGUUUGGUUCGGAUAUAAGUAAGAACUAGCUGAUAUAAGAUUAGAACUGCUCGAACAAUAGUUCUUCUUUUUCUAGAACAAGUUGAUAAAAGAUUAGAACUGCUAUUCCAUUUCUUUCUAGAACAAGCUUAUUCGGGAAGAAGGUUAAUUAAAAGCUAAAUUUAAUUUUAAAUAUGAUAUUAAAAAUUAUUAAUUAAUCAAAUUAAUGUCUAUAAAUCAUUAUCUACUGCUUAAAUAAUAAAGGAGUUAAUUAAUUUAUUAUUUAUAAUUAAUUAGCUCAUUAAAAAUUAGUAAUUUAAUAUAUUUAUUCAUAAACUAAUAUUUAUAUUUAUCAACACUACUCUGGUUAAUUUUUUUACUAAUAAUCUAACUAAAAUAAUUUACUAACUACUUAAAAAUUAAAUUAUUUUUUAUAAUCAAUUAAUUAAUUAAUAUAUUUUCAUGAUCUUAUACAAUAUUCAUAGCUAAUAAAUUGAUUAAUUUAUUAAAUUAUUUUUAAUUUAAGAUUAUAACUUUUAUUCCUUCUAUUCCAAUUUAACCAUUCAAAUACUAUUUUAUCUUAUUCUCGGAAACAAUUCAAUUUUCAUCCAAAUAGAAAAUUGGUCUAAUUUCUACUUAUGGCUGAGCUGUACUUAUCUCUGAAAUAAGCAGUUUUUAUUUAUACCCGAACAAAACGCAGUCGUAAGAUACAAUUACAUUUCUUUUCUAUUAGAAUAACACUAUCCAUACGCUCUGUAGUUAGGUAUAAAAUUUACACCCCAAUUUCUUUGUAGCCUUUAUUUUCUCACUUAUUUUAUCAACUUUUUUAAACUCAAAAUAAAAAAAAAAUGUAAAUCUUUGAAUUUAAGGGUGUAGGACUUAUUCCCUAUAAAAAGUGUAUAAGUAAUAAUUUUCUUUCAGUUAUGGUUACUUCAAGUGAUAAUACCAACAUUCCAUAAAGUUCCCAACAUUACACACAAGUGCAAAACAUAUAAUACAAAUUUUUAAAAAAAACUGUAUCAAUUGCCAUAUAACCUAAGUUUAGACCUACUGCCACCUUACAUGGCCCAAAAACAUUGAUUUAAAGUUUAAAUGUGUUUUGGGCACCUGCUGUUUUUCAAUUGUGAACUUUUUAUUAUCAUUAUCAUAAAAAUGUUAAUGGCUAAAAAAAAAUUAAAAAUUAAUUCAGCAAUAAAUUUUUUUACAUUAUAUUUUUACUAGCAUGGCUAUAACUGUUGUGGUGGAUAGGAAUACAAAUAGCCUGACUUUAUCAGUUAUAACUGAUCGGCACAUAUUUAAAAGUUUAGUAAAUUAAUUCAGUCCCGAUCAGUUCCAAAUAGGGUUACAAGUAAGAACUAAAUAAUAAGAAAAAAAAAAAUCAUUCCGAAUUUAUUCCGAUCUGUUAAGAAAAAUGAGUGGGCAGUAAAAGACCUCUAUCUUUUCUUUAUUUGUCCUCGUCCACAAAAAAUUUAUCAAACGUUUCUUCCAUCACAACCCACCCUGAAGGACAAAAGACAUGAUAAGAAUCGACUCAUUCUGAAUCAACCCCGACCUGCAGAAGACACUAUUGGCUAUUUACACUACAACAGAAUUAGGUUAUAGGGACACAUGUUUGGGAUAUUUUUAUGUAAGUAUCUCAUUUAUGUCAAAACUUAAAAAAAAAAUCUAAUAAGGCCUAAAUAUAGAGCACAAUCCAAUCAAAAAUAAAAGGUUACUCUACUCAACCCACCCCAUCCAGUCCAUUCAGUCCGAUUACAAAUAAAAAAGGAAAAAAAAAAUCGAUCACCAUCUUCCCUUCUCCCCUCAUUCAAUCCACCGAAACUUUAGAGGAAGAGCCCUUCGCUCUCCUCCUCUUCCGCCAGUGCAGCCAACAAGGUAAAGUUCCGGUGAUUGCUAAAAGUUUAAAUAAGUGUUGGUAAAUUAGCAGUACUUUUUUUAGCUUAUACCGACACUCUUAAACUGUCACUAUAUGCCUAGUGAUCCCACAUAUAGCAACAAUUUUAAAAGUGUCGAUAAUUUAGCAAGCAGCAUUUUUUUUGACCUAUACCGACAUUUAAAAGUGUCGCUAUACACUGUUUUUUUUUGUAGAGUUAUCAUUUGGCUAAAAUAUGUCCAAUAUUUUGCUCCAUAAUAAUAGAUCCAAGAGACUAAUAAGUUGAACUGAUGAGUGUAAUAAAUUGAGUGGGAUUACGAUCCAACAGUGGACCUAAUAUCCAGAUAUGUUUAAUCAGGUCGAAACUUGUGAAGUGUUAUAACUAAGCCUUUAAAUACAAUAUAAAUACACUUAUUUUAUCAGCACGUAUUUUUUGAAUAAUUAUUCAGCAGUAAUAAUCCACAGGUAAGAAGGAAUCCAUUGGCCAUCAGAGCUGCCCUACUUUUCUUCCUUGUGUAAGCAAUAAUUUUCCCCCAUUAAAAGGCAAAAAUUGACAUGCCGUGGAAGAAUCACCUUUGGUGCCCACUUGCAAGUUGCAAGUGCUCGACCUUGUCACCCUGCUUUAUUUAUUUUUUCUUUUUUAAAGUCUUGCUUCUUUUGAAUUUUGAUUGGGUGUGGAAUUUCGAAAAUGAUGCACUCAAAUUAUGACACAGUAAAUAAAUUAGAGAUAAUUGCCCACGAUUAUCUCUAAAGUUAUUAAAUAACAAGUAUAUUCCGACCACACUUAAGUUAUCAUAUUUAUUUCUCUAAAAAUCGUUCCGUCUGUAAAUAUAUCAUUCUGUCAGCAAAAUUUAGAUAACUAUAAAUUAAAAAAUAUAACCACGGUUAGUUAAGAAGUAAAAUAAACUUUUUAUCCCUUACAUUUAUAAUUUGUAUUUCAAUAUUGAGUCAAGUUAUCUUUCUCAUCCUCUCCUCUUUAUACAUGGUGACGGCGAGAUAAACAUGAGAUACGUCGCAUGUACUGCAAAAAAUGCGAGGAGAGAGAGAGAAAAAAAACUUUUUGCAAGAAUAAACUUAUAAGAGUAAAAUAGUUAUUUUAUGCAUCCAUCGUUAAAAAAUUAACGGUGAAUCAAACGACAUGAACAUAAAUGAAUGAAUCAGAAUUUUUGAAAAAAUAUAGUUGCAAAAAAAAAAAAAAUUAAAAGAUAAAUAUGAUAAUAUAAAUUUUAUAAGAAUAUAUUUACUAUUUCAUAUGUUUGCAUCAGCAUGUAGGAAAUUAACCCAAUAAAUUAAGUGGCUAAUCCAAACAUUGACAAAAUCACAUAUGCAAUUAAUUUAAUAGUUAACAUCCAUGUCUCAAUCAAAGUGAAUUAUAACCUUGUUUUUAUUGCAGAGUGAAUAUAUAAAUCAAUAGUCACAUCCAUGUCUAAAUCAAAGUUAAUUAUAACUUUGUUUUUUCUGCAGCGCAAAAACAUAUAAAUUUAAUGAUUUGUGCUAGUUUAAAUGAGUCAGUAUUUUGUUCUUUGACGAAAGGUCAAGUGGGCUAAGUUAUUUCGAAAUAGCAUUAGACUGGGUUGGGUCGAAUCAUAUUCAAAGUGACAUGAGGCUAGUUGGACCGAGUCACAAUCGAGAUCUGUGGAUGCUGUAUUUAUACGCUUUAAGUGAAUUGGAUGUGUAUUUCUAACAGCUCAAGUUUUUGGAAUUAAUGGUUAGCGCUAACGACCUGACAGCUUGUUUUAUAGCUUCAUGUUGAUUUUAUUUUAUUUUAUUGGAAUCAUGUUAAGAGAUUUUAACUCUAAUAAGGCUUCAUGCAACCUGUUAUAUAGAUGAAUAGAACUCGUGUGUUAUAUAAUAAUACACUUGGAAUUUUGGCUAUGCAAUGUACAAGUUAAAUUAAUUCGAAUAACAAUAAUAAAAAAUUGACCUUUUAAAAUUAUUUGAGCAAUUUAAAAAAGAUUCCUGCAGAAUAUAUCUAGUUGGUAGAAAAUAAUCUAAAUUUUAAAUUUAGAAUAAAUCUGGAUCACAAACUUUUAAUAAUGGAAUAUAAUUUAAAUUUUAAGUUUAGAAUAUUUAUGAAUUAACCAUCACGAGACACUACUUUAGUAUAAUACGAUUAUGUGACCUAUUUUAGCAAUUUUUGAGGUAUUUAAUAACCUGUUUAAACACAACCUAGGGGUAAAUUGGGAUGUUUCGAAUUUAAGUUUUUUUUUUUUUUGAAACAAAAUUAUUUAAGGAAUCAUAGAAAUUUAACAACAAACCAAAUAACUGAACUAGUUGUUUAAAAUUGGCAACUAAUAUACUGAGUUGAAUUAAAAAAUAAUUGAAUUAAAAGGCUCAUGUUUAACGCAAAAGCUUAAACUAAUAGAUGAAAAACUUCUUAUGUUCUAUAAAUAAUGCCAAAAUUUUAGUUUAUAUUUAAUACAGGGUGAUUUUUUUUAACACUAGCAAGGUAAAAGGGAAAAAAUAAAAAUAAAAACAAAUAUUUUUUGUUAGCACGAAAGAUUUUUUUUGAGAGAUAGGUAGCACGCUACCCGCUUCGUUUAUUUUAUUUAGAAAUAAACUUAGCUGGAAAUGUAAAUCAAUUAGAAUUCGAACUUGGGUCUCGGGUACCAACCACCAAAUCCUUUGCCAUUUGCUCCAUGGACGGUCGAUUGUUAGCAUGAAAGAUGAAUCAAUAUUUGUUCGAUUUGAGAGGUUGGGGGCAAUAAUUAAGUUAAUUUCAUGAGUGUUCCUACAAAAAUAUCGAAUAUCAGAUAUAUUAUUAUAAAGUUUAAGUUAUCACAUUUGUUCUUUUAAAAAUUCUAGCACAUUCAUAUUUGUCUCCAUGAUUUGCUGCUAUUAGUUUACUGUUUGUAUUCAUAAUUCGUAAGUGAAAUGAUAAUUUUAUUAUUAUAAAUUUAUCUCUUCAAACAUUUCAAUAGUUAUAAGUGUGGUCCUUUUCUCUAUUAAAAUCAACUCAACUCUUGAUGGGAGGGCUCCGCGGGACGAUAGAAAGCUUUGUCUACGAGCAGCAUAUAUCCUUUUUGUCGCACCUUUUGAGUUUACAGGUCGCUUAGAGCACAUUAGUUAGUUAAUAAGAUUUUUUAUAAGAGGGAUGAAAAUAUGAUUUUAUUUCUUAAGUAACUAUUGUUAAGUAUUUUAUUCAUGAUUAAUUAAAUAUUUUCUAAUAAAGACUAACGGUAGGAAUAUACUUGCAACAAUAUUAAAUAUUGAAGGAGAAAAUCUAAUAUCUUUGUAAAAACAUAUAUGAAUUAUUACCAUAUAUAUAUAUAUAUAUAUAGAGAGAGAGAGAGAGAGAGAGAGUUGAACUGGGCUACUAUUAAAAACAAAAUUCUAUUGUUGCUACCAGUUUUUUAGUCUUUGGAUCAACUCUUUUCAUUAUUUCUAACCAUUGGAUUAAAUACUAUAACCCAGUGGGGACCACUCAACUCUAACCGACUAAUAUCAUUCUGAUCCUACAAUUUUUCAUCUAAGGGUUAAAAACUUGAUAGCAAAAAAAGCGUUUUACUAUUAAUAGUAUUCCAGACUAAUUUUAUAUAUAUAUAUAUAUAUAUAUAUAGAGAGAGAGAGAGAGAGAGAGAGAAAGAGGAGAGGCUAGGCCUGGUAUACUAUCGGUAGCACAGAGGCUCCGUGCUAAAGUGUUUUCAAUGAUGCGGCUUUCAAAUCGACAAUGCGCUUUAUUAGACUUGAUCUACACUAUAAAAGGUAUUUGGAAACUAAAAUUUCAUAAUUUUCGACAUCAUUCUGCUAGUGAUCAAAAGGUUUGCAAAAUAACAAUUUUAAUUGGUAGAUAUGAUGCGUUUUUUAAGUUCAGCGGUGUAGAAGUAUUCAAAUUAGAUGAAAUUAUAAUAGAAAUUCUACUUAAACAUCAAUAGCAAGACAUACUUCCGAUCUGAAAUUUGAAUUCUUUAUCAUUGUUUUUUAUGAGAUUUUCAUUUUCAGCCGUUCAUUUUAAACUACUCGUUUGAAUUGGUAAAUGACGCCGAAAAAUCAUGAAAUUUAGUUUUCAAAUAUUUUCAAUAAUGUAGAUCAAAUCUAACGGAGCCGAUCGUCGAUUUAGAAGCCGCAUUAUUGAAAACAACUUGGUAGCACGGAGACCUCUGUGCUACCGAUAGUAUACCAGCCUAGGCUCUACUCUCUCUCUCUUCUCUCUCUCUCUCUCUCUCUCUCUCUCUCGCUAUAUAUAUAUAUAUAUAUAUAUAUAUAAUUAUAUAUAUUAUAUGAGUAGAGCUACUAUACUAUCGGAAUCAUAAAGUGGUUGCUGCUUCUGAUUUUUUAGCCCUUAGAUCAACCCCAUUGAUCAUUUUUAACCAUUGGAUUAAUAUUAUUAACCAAUGAGGACCACUCAACCCUAAGUGAACCGCUAUCAUCCCAACCGUAAAAUCUUUGAUCCAACGGCUAAAAAAUCGGAAGCACCAACUACUUUAUGCUUCCGAUAGCAUAGUAGCUCUACAUUAUAUAUAUAUAUAUAUAUAUAUAUAUAUAUAUAUAUAUAUAUAUAUAUAUAUAUAUAUAGCAAACAGGCUCCGUUGCCAUCCAUUUGUUUUCGAUGAUGGAGCUUUUAAAUCGACGAUCGACACCGUUGAACAUGAUCUAUAUCACUUAAGGUAUUAGAAAUCAAAUUUUAAAUUUUUUCGACAUUAUUGACCUAAUGAUCAAAGAGUUUCAAAAUUUAUAAUUUUAAUGAUCGAUAUGAGGCGUUUUCUCGUUUAACGCUGUAAAACUAUUCAAAUCAAUUGAAUUUUGGUUAGAAAAUUCUUUAAACUAUUUAGAACAAGAUCCAUAUUCUCGAUCUUGAUUAUAAAAUUCCUAUCAUCACCUUUUAGAGGAUAUUCAUUUCAGCCAUUCAUUUUGAUGCCCACUUGAUGAACAAGAGAACAAUAUCGGAAAAAUAUAAAAUUUGAUUUCUAAAUACUUUAAGUGGUAUAGAUAAUUUUCAACGGUACCGAUCAUCGAUUUAGAGGCUCCAUCAUCGAAAACAAAUGGAUGGUAACGGCGUCCGUUUGCUACCGAUAGUAUUCCAGCUCAACUCUUUAUAUAUAUAUGGUAUGUAAUAUAUAUGGUAACAUGAAUAA